UACGGAGGGUGCAAACGUUGCUCGGAAUCAUUGGGCGUAAAGCGCACGCAGGCGGUUUGUUAAGUCGGAUGUGAAAGCCCCGGGCUCAACCCGGGAAGUGCAUACGAAACUGGCGAACUUGAAUAUGGAAGAGGGUCGCGGAAUUCCCGGUGUAGAGGUGAAAUUCGUAGAUAUCGGGAGGAACACCAGUGGCGAAGGCGGCGACCUGGGCCAAUAUUGACGCUGAUGUGCGAAAGCGUGGGGAGCAAACAGG
rnacentral:rRNA from 1 species